GAUGAACGCUGGCGGCGUGCUUAACACAUGCAAGUCGAACGGAAAGGCUCCUGCUUGCAGGGGUACUCGAGUGGCGAACGGGUGAGUAACACGUGGGUGAUCUGCCCUGCACUUCGGGAUAAGCCUGGGAAACUGGGUCUAAUACCGGAUAGGACGAUGGUUUGGAUGCCAUUGUGGAAAGUUUUUCGGUGUGGGAUGAGCUCGCGGCCUAUCAGCUUGUUGGUGGGGUAAUGGCCUACCAAGGCGUCGACGGGUAGCCGGCCUGAGAGGGUGUACGGCCACAUUGGGACUGAGAUACGACCCAGACUCCUACGGGAGGCAGCAGUGGGGAAUAUUGCACAAUGGGCGCAAGCCUGAUGCAGCGACGCCGCGUGGGGGAUGACGGCCUUCGGGUUGUAAACUCCUUUCGCUAGGGACGAAGCGCAAGUGACGGUACCUGGAGAAGAAGCACCGGCUAACUACGUG
rnacentral:rRNA from 1 species